rnacentral:lncRNA from 1 species
GCCACUAAUUCCACCACAGAUACUUCUCCUCUUUGUGGUAAUUUUAACUUCGGUGGCAGAAAUUUUUAUAUCUGUCACAUGUAUACAAAACAAGAAAUUAGAAAGAAACACAGGAAAUAGCAGGUUAACAACCUUCAUUGUUGAGGUUCAAUUGCCAAUAGGGCCUUCCAAUAACUUUGUCAAAGGUGUGCUUGUCAGCCUAUCAUGUAUACCAAUAUUGAAAUGCAUGAUUAAAGCGCAUAAAUUAAUUUAAUGUAAUAAAUGCACUCUGUGUAAGAGUGUGUUUGGCAGUGUGGUUGCGGGUGCUUUUCAAAUAACUUUUUGUGCUAAAAUGCAUGUCAAUGAUGUUUUUUUAUUUUUUAAAAAUUAUUUUUGACAUCAGCACAUCAAAACGAUCCAAAACGUAUAAACCAUAUUAAAUUUUAGUAAAACAAAAAAAAAUUUCAAUUUUUUUGGGAACGCCGCCGCAGCCGCGUUCCCAAACGUUACCUAAUUAGACAAUGUAAAACAUGAGAAACUUGAAUUUCCUUCAACGCAGAGAACGCAAAGGCAAGCCAUGUUGUGUGGUACCAUAUAUAUGAGGUAUUAAUCCCUAUCCUAUGUUCUUUUUAUUUACCUCUCAGAAUUAGCCCUACACUAGUGUAAAUAAACAUGUUGUGAAUAUUGUAAUGGAUGUCAAAGUCCAUGGAACUCUCUCUCUCUUGUAAAAGUAAUUUUAUAUAAAAGAGAGUUGUCUUCCACCAUUUCUACCUUCCUACCAUCCUCCCAUGAUUUUUUUUCUAACAAAUUCCUUUUAGAAUACAUGUGUUUCCCUUCUUAACUCUUUUUUAAGUUGCUCCGAAAGUAGCCUAGCUGUAGACUAAAAAUACUUUAAAACAAUUUUGUCAAUGAUAGCUCAACUAACACUAGCAACCUUUUUUCUUUAAAAGAUCUCGAGUAAAUUGAGCAUUUUUUAAUUAAAAAAAUAUAUAAGAAAUUUAUAGUUAAAUAAUCACCGAUCGAGACUCAAGCAAACAAACAAAACAUCAUGAUUCAUGCAUGUUGAAGGAAAGGAAAGAGAAGGGAAAAUGACCAUGAUGGCUGUAGAACCCUAGUUUGCUUGCGCAAAGGAUAUGAUCACCCUUUCUUUAACUCAUUAACGUCGAUGGCUUGGAAGUUCAGGGACCUUGUCGUAUCAAGCACAGCAUCAAUGAACCUGUCAUCACCCAUCUCUCGAUCCCUCUUAAUCUUUCUCAAACUAAGUGAGAUCGGUACGAGACCUCUGUGCUCGAGAUCAAACACUUCUGGAGACCUCUCCCGCACUGUGAAUGAUAU